UCAUGGCCCUAUCGAAGUCGAUUUACCGCCACGUGGCUGAGUCGAUCAAACUGGAGCCUACAGAGACAUCUUUUACCGACGGUCGCUGUUCAGUUCUGUUGUAGACGAUCAGCAACAUUCUUGGAAAAGGACAAUA